UACGUAGGGACCAAGCGUUGUUCGGAUUUACUGGGCGUAAAGGGCGCGUAGGCGGCGCGGUAAGUCACUUGUGAAAUCUCUGAGCUUAACUCAGAACGGCCAAGUGAUACUGCAGUGCUAGAGUGUGGAAGGGGCAAUCGGAAUUCUUGGUGUAGCGGUGAAAUGCGUAGAUAUCGUAAGGAAGACCAGUGGCGAAGGCGGGUCUCUGGACAGUUCCUGACGCUGAGGCACGAAGGCCAGGGGAGCAAACGGG
rnacentral:rRNA from 1 species